AGCGAACGCUGGCGGCAGGCCUAACACAUGCAAGUCGAGCGCCCCGCAAGGGGAGCGACAGACGGGAGAGUAACACGUGGGAACGUACCCUUUGGUUCGGAACAACCCAGGGAAACUUGGGCUAAUACCGGAUAAGCCCUGACGGGGAAAGAUUCAUCGCCGAAGGAUCGGCCCGCGUCUGAUUAGCUAGUUGGUGGGGUAACGGCCCACCAAGGCGACGAUCAGUAGCUGGUCUGAGAGGAUGAUCAGCCUCACUGGGACUGAGACACGGCCCAGACUCCUACGGGAGGCAGCAGUGGGGAAUAUUGGACAAUGGGCGCAAGCCUGAUCCAGCCAUGCCGCGUGGGUGAUGAAGGCCCUAGGGUUGUAAAGCCCUUUCGGCGGGGAAGAUAAUGACGGUACCCGCAGAAGAAGCCCCGGCUAACUUCGUGCCAGCCGCCGCGGUAA
rnacentral:rRNA from 1 species